GUCGAGCGAACUGAUUAGAAGCUUGCUUCUAUGACGUUAGCGGCGGACGGGUGAGUAACACGUGGGCAACCUGCCUGUAAGACUGGGAUAACUUCGGGAAACCGAAGCUAAUACCGGAUAGGAUCUUCUCCUUCAUGGGAGAUGAUUGAAAGAUGGUUUCGGCUAUCACUUACAGAUGGGCCCGCGGUGCAUUAGCUAGUUGGUGAGGUAACGGCUCACCAAGGCAACGAUGCAUAGCCGACCUGAGAGGGUGAUCGGCCACACUGGGACUGAGACACGGCCCAGACUCCUACGGGAGGCAGCAGUAGGGAAUCUUCCGCAAUGGACGAAAGUCUGACGGAGCAACGCCGCGUGAGUGAUGAAGGCUUUCGGGUCGUAAAACUCUGUUGUUAGGGAAGAACAAGUACGAGAGUAACUGCUCGUACCUUGACGGUACCUAACCAGAAAGCCACGGCUAACUACGUGCCAGCAGCCGCGGUAAUACGUAGGUGGCAAGCGUUAUCCGGAAUUAUUGGGCGUAAAGCGCGCGCAGGCGGUUUCUUAAGUCUGAUGUGAAAGCCCACGGCUCAACCGUGGAGGGUCAUUGGAAACUGGGGAACUUGAGUGCAGAAGAGAAAAGCGGAAUUCCACGUGUAGCGGUGAAAUGCGUAGAGAUGUGGAGGAACACCAGUGGCGAAGGCGGCUUUUUGGUCUGUAACUGACGCUGAGGCGCGAAAGCGUGGGGAGCAAACAGGAUUAGAUACUCUGGUAGUCCACGCCGUAUACGAUGAGUGCUACGUGUUAGAGGGUU
rnacentral:rRNA from 1 species